UACGUAGGGUGCGAGCGUUGUCCGGAAUUACUGGGCGUAAAGAGCUCGUAGGUGGUUUGUCGCGUUGUUCGGUGAAAACCGGGGGCUUAACCCUCGGCGUGCGGGCGAUACGGGCAGACUUGAGUACUGGCAGGGGAGACUGGAAUUCCUGGUGUAGCGGUGGAAUGCGCAGAUAUCAGGAGGAACACCGGUGGCGAAGGCGGAUCUCUGGGCCAUUACUGACGCUGAGGAGCGAAAGCGUGGGGAGCGAACAGG
rnacentral:rRNA from 1 species